AGAGAGAGGCAGAGAGAGACAGCAGGGAUGUGGUGAAAAAUCAUGUGGGAGAUGCUGAAAGCAAUGAUACUCUAUUAUAUCAUUAGGCUACAAACCAAAAUAAAAAGGAAAUGAGGUGCACAACUGGAGGCUAGCAGAUGUUGCCCAUUGAUUAGUCUUCUUUUUUAUACUAAAUCCUGUGAUUCAAAUUAAAGAAGACAUGGAGAAUCCAGUGUUGAAACUUCAGCAAUAAGACAAAUCGCUUUGGAUGUGUCACCACUUAUUCUGCAUGUAUUCCAUCUGUAGAAGAGAAACAAGCCUCCAUCUAGAUAAGAACCUACAGAACUAGUUUUAUGUCUGAGAGUAGUGCUUCCAUUUGGGAAUACCUUCCAGUGUUUUUUUCCUCAAAACAUAUAUUUCUGAAUCUCAACUCUUUAGGAAAAUAAGUCCAAAAACUGUAAAAACAGCCAAAAGUUAUACACUAUUCAGAUGCAAACAUAGAGACAUUAAUGCUUUGAAGGAAUCUGGGAAUUGCUUUCUUUUCUAAAAAGAAAGUCCCAGUGCCCUACCCCCUUCUUAUUCCAAAAAUGAUGUACAUAUAUCUCAUUUUGCUUGUCUUUAGAAUCUUCCAUAUAGAUUCCCCCCACAUUUUAAUUAAAUUUGACUUUCUUCUGUUAACAUAUAUCAUUUGAAUUUAAUCCUUAUACUAGCCAGAAGAAUCUAGAAUGGUAGAGGAUUUCGUUUCCUUUCUUGAGACUUCUUAUCCUUACUUUGCAAAGAAAGGGAAGAAUACAAAGCAAAUGACCAUAUAUUUCCUUUCUAAUAAAGUUAGAAUUGGAGGGAGGUCACCAAAGUGUUUAAUAGCCCAGACAGUCUUGAGUUGGAAUCCUGCGUCUAUACUUGCUCAUUAUAUAAUUUUGCAAAAUUAAUAAUGCUCUGGAAUCCUUAAUUUAUUCUUGUGUGAAUGGUGAUACUGAGAAUGAGAGUUCUACGAGAAUGCUGUAGAUUAGGUAUAGAUAAGAUAAAGUGCAAAGUGUCAUACUAUACAUUGCCUACAGAAAGGGUUUAAAGAGUAUUAACAAAAAUUACCAUAAACAAUUAUAAUGCAAUGUAUAAUGCAAAGUGAUGACUCUAGAAGAGAUGUAUAGAUACUGUUCUGGAAACUCAGAACCAGGAACAAUUAAUUUUGCCUGGAGGAUUUAGCAAGACCUUUACUAAGUAGAGGGACUGGAUCACAAAAAGAGAUAGGAAUUCAUCAAUUAGGACGAGUGCCAAGUCAGAGAAAAACACCCAUUCCGGCAAGAGAUAUAGCCUCUGAAUCUUGGCACUGAGCUUGUUAGACAAUCAGAACUUAUUUAUUGAAUUAAAUUGAAUUCCAGGAAUUCAAAAGAAUUAGGUGUACUCAAAAACGUGAAUUUUUCAGUAUGAAUAGAGAACGUAAUCUUCAAGAAAGUGGUAGAAGGAGGCAGAAAGAUUUUUAAGGGAAUCUGAUCCUUACUUUAUACUAGAGACCUGUACUAUAAAAAUUUGUAUUCUCCUCAAAGUGCAUAUAUCUAUCACCAACCAAAGAAUGGCCAAAAUAAAUACUUUUAAGAAAAUUCUUUAGGAAACUAUGCGAGGAUUUUGAGUUGAAUGAAAAUAUGAUCAGAUUUUUUAGUUUUAAAGAAAAACAUUGUUUCAUGACACCUGCAUCUUGGGGAUGCCUAAAAGAUACAUAAUUUUACCUUUCACUAAUUUAAAUUUCUGCCUAAAAUAUUACUUUGUAAUAGGCAAAGAAAUAUCUAAUGGCCUUUUCAAUACAGUAUGCAAAGUUGAACAACUCGUGUUGAAAGAUUUUGAAUCAUAUUUACACCUAUAUAGCUCUGUUUUUGGAUCUAACUUAUUGAUCUAAAAGUCUCUUCUCACAUUGGUUUUGUAAAAAUAAAUAAAGACCACUCAAAUGAGAACAAACAGAGGCUAUUUAUUCAGGGCUGGCUGUAACAAGAGUCAUCCAGCGUCAUCACUUGCAUUUGAUAAAGGCUCAUAAGCAGAUAGGAGAAUAUGACAGCUUUAUAGCGAAAAAAGGGGAAAGUUGCGAGUAUGCUUUGAUUAGAAGUUCGUGGUAUGAAGAAGCUGGAGGUGGGCAGCAGGACAUCUUAGUGGUUGAAUUGGUAAACAUAUUAAACUUUUUUGAUUGGUACUGCCUUAAAAACCAGGGGGGGGGAGAAAAAAUGGGGAUCAUUGACCCAGUCCCAAUGUUUUUGGGGUGCUUGUUGUGAUUGUAGUUUGGAUUCUCUGACUGGUUGAUGCAGAAGUUCUGGGUCAAAAUUCUACUGAUACAUACAAUCUGGCCACUGUUCAUUUGUAUAUUUAUUAUCUCAUUUGUAACCCCUUCCAUGAAUGCUAAGCACUUUGGAUUCAUCAAAAUUUCCAACACUCCAGGAAAUUUAAAUGCUUUAUUUAUGCUAAAAUUACAUAUGUAUAUACUGAUAUUGAAAUCCAAAACAAAUUAUGAUUAAAUAAUUUAAAAAACUGCUUUCACUCACUGAACUGGAUGGUUGAUGCAUGUUUUAUCUCCUGAGUUUCUGGCAUCUCUCAAUGCAUAUAAAAUAUAUAAAAAUAUGUAAAAUAUUUUAAAAUACAGGCGCAUUCAUAUUUAUCAUCAUAUAGUUUAAUGUCACAAAAUCUGUUUGUUCAGUAAAAGCUGUCUUUGUGCAUUAUCAAUAGACUCAUUAAAUCAACCUCAACUGAAUGCUUUAUUUUUUCCUGUGCUCUUAAAAAAGAAUAAUAAAAGAGGUAAUCAAGUUCUAAACAAUAUUAAACUUUUUUUUAACUAUCUUAAUUUUGUUUUCAAUCAUGCAAAGAGACUUGCAAGCCAAGGAAAAUGGAGAUGUACUCCAGACACCAGUAACAGUGUCUUCAGAAUUUCAAAUAGGGGUCAUAUCCCCUAGUAUCUGUUGCAGCAGACUGAAUUAAAAGUAAUGGUGACCUUAGGUCCCAUUUAACAUGCGAAAGAAAUUGAGCCUUAACUUCUAUCUUUGCCAAUGACUGUUUGUAAAUGUGUACAAAUUGCCUAGUCUCACUGAAUCCCAGUUAUGUACCAGUAAAUGGGAAUAAUACAAUUGUUAAGAUUUAAAGAGAUACACUAUGUGGGCUUUAUAUUCAAGAGCUGACACCUAGUGCUGCAUUCUUCACCACUGGCAAUAUAGGUAUAAAAACAGCUGCUUUCAUGAUUUAUGGGUAACAAUACAAAUAAAACCAGUUAAAUAGAUAUCUAGCUAACUAACAUAAUACCCUCCAUGACAUGCUUUUUAUAUAUGCAUGAACACUAACAAUAUGGAACAAGGGUAUAGAGGACCAAGGACUAACAGGGAAGUCAAGUGCUGUUUUUGCUAUCAUGCUAUAGGAACCGUUCACCAAAUUACCUCACCAUUCAAUAUCCAAAGCUCAGUCCUUUGAACUUCUGUCUAUCUGUCCUCCAUCCUCUUCCCCUUCCCUCAUACAUUUUGAUUCCUUGAAUUUCUACUCUAGGGAUAGCAAAAUUUUCCUACUUAAAAUGCAGAAUAAUGUAUUUUUAUAAAGCUCUUAUUCCUACUUGAAGCUCCAGGCCCACACUGCAGAUCCAACCACAGAGAGGAAUUCAGCUAAAUAAAACAACAGCAAAUCUAUGGUUCUUCAGUUGCUAACAUCCUUUCAUUUAAGAGCAGUUGUCAUUUAGAGAAGACAGUUAUAUUUUCUAAAUUCCAUCUCAGUUAACAGUAUCCAAGAUAUGGAAAAAAACACCAGCAAUAUUUUGGCAGGCUCCAGAGGCCCUAUAAACCAAGGUCAGGCUCUAGGCUUCCCAAAGACAAGACUGUGCCAAUCUUUGGGUUUCCCUAAGAGCUAGGCACAAUAUUUAAUGAAAUAAAAAAAUAUAUAGAAUAUGCUACAUAAGGCUGUGGAUUGCUGUAGACAUUUCAGCUACUUUAUAAAAUAUAAGCUAUGUAUUUGCAAAUCACAUGUAUAUUGGGUGCUAUGAUAUAUUUUUUAAAAAUGAAUACUAGUGUACUUUGUUAAAUCUUACUGAUGCUAAUUUGCACUCUGAUGAGAAAAAAAAAUCUAUUUUCUAUAUGCUCAGGAUAUAAUUUAAUUCAUAUAAGAAUAAGAAUAAUUUAAAUUAAUAAAUUAGCAUCAUUAGUAAAUAAUAAAAUCCUAAUUUUUAGAUUACUAACCUUAAAAUAGUUUAUAAGUAUGUUUUAUUCUGUCUAUAAAAUAUUUACUCUACUAAGUAAACUCCAUAACAUGCUUAGUCAAAACAUAACCAUCUUUUCCAAGGAGCCAGUUCAACACUUUCAAUGAACCAACAAAUAUUAAUUAAAAACCUAUUAUAAUUUAGGGCCACUUUUUCCUUUUAUCUUUAACUCAAACUAUUUCUCAGAAUAUUGCUUCUAACUUUACCUUAAAACUAUAGUGUGAAUAAUAGACAACUAGAAAUUGAAAUAAAAACAUUUAAAUUAACAUAAAAACAUAAAAUGCCUAGUGAUAAAUUAACACAAAAUAUGUGCAAGAUCUGCACACUGGAAAGUACAAUUUUUAAGAGAAAUUACAGAAGACAUAAACAAAAAAGAGUUAUACCAUGUUCACAGAUCAGAAGACUAAAUCAACUCUCUCUAAAUUUAUCUAUAGAUUAAAUGUGAGUCCAAUCAAAAUAUCAGGGGAUUUUUUUCAUAGAAACUGAAAAGAUGAUUAUAAAAUGUAUAUGGAAACACAAGGUAACAAUUUGAUCCAGACAAGCUAAAACAAUUUGAAAGAGGAGAGCAAAGUUGGAGAUCUUAUACUAUUUAAUUUCGAGAUUUUCUAUAACAUCACAAUAAUCAAG
rnacentral:lncRNA from 1 species